GUGCUCGCUUCUGUAGCACAUAUACUAAAAUUGGAACGAUACAGAGUAGAUUAGCAUGGCCCCUGUGCAAGGAUGAUACACAAAUUCAUGAAGCAUUUCAUAUUAAA